UUCUUUUAACCCCCUUCAUUACUUAGCAUUUUGUUGGGACUUGGGCAGUAGCUAUGUGACUAACGACUUGAUUGUGGAGCUUAACUCACUGGAAUGAGCUUGAGUUGUUUAUCUUGUUAUGUUAAGUGUUGCUUCUAUGAUUCCAAGAGUUGGAGCUUUACUGGGGCUUUACUAAUCUGCAAUUACCCUAUGAGUUUGGCUAAGAAAUGUUGAUCCCUUGAUUAUUAAAGCUUGCUACUUGUUGUGAGGCUGAAAUUAGUGUAGUUAACACUUGUGCUACUAAGUUCUUGUACUAUGUUGUGAUUGUUCUAAACAUGAUGCAAGAUAAGGUGUUGGGGUGUGGAGGUGUUUACCUCUCGAUAUCAUUGCUGCUUCGAGAAAAUCCGCCUUUGGUCUCAGUUUUUCUCCCUCUCAAACUUGCUACUGCUUGUUCUUGGUUCUCACUAGAGUUGCUGAAUUUUGAGAUGUGUAGGAGGGUUGUUCAAAGGUGGUGUGGAGGGGAUUUUAUAGGCUGAGCUGUGUACUCGUGAGGCCUUAAUUGGAGCUGUUGUAUUCCUUUGUUCUCUUCCUGCAGCAAUCCUCUUUAUUAUGAUUCUGCAGCAAAACUUUAACUGAAAAUUGGCUCCAUAUGGGUACCUAGUACGUAGCUAUUAACUUCCAUUGUUUGCUUGUGGCUGGUGAGAAAACAGGUGCUGCAUUAGUGUGGAGGAUUUGCAGGAUUGACUUGCCCCUUUUGGGUAAGUCUUUGGUCUUCCAACUAAAGAGAGGUUGUCUCCUUCCUCAUGGUUGGGAGAGGACUUGGGCUGCCAAGCUGCUGUCCGAGACGGGCUUGAUGCCUCGGGCCCAACGGGCUGAUCGGAUAGGGCCAACUUAUUGGGCUUAAAAAGGGCGUGAUGCGGUUCACAAGAUUAGGCCCAUUGUUCAUAGUCUUGUGAUUAUAGUCAUGAUCUUUCUUUCUCAAACUCAUAAAUUCAUGCACUAAAUUUUGUAUAAUCUGAAACAUGUUCUUGAUCCAUUAUUUAUCUUGGGCUUAA